AUGGGCUUGCCGAUCGUCAUUGUCGAGGAGCCGCCGAUGCUCAAGACCGCCGCGUUGGUGCCGGCACACCGGCAGAACGCCGGUCGUGUCAAGCACGGCGACGUCAGGAGGGUAAUGGCGCGGAAGCCAAAGGACGUCUGGAUUGUGAGGCUCGCCGUCAGCACAUACACCUGCUGGACGGAAAGCACUUCAAGCCCUUGGAGGUCGCCGAGGACGAUCGGCCCCAGGAUGAAUGAGCUUUUUCUCUUUUUUUGA
rnacentral:rRNA from 1 species